GCCAAAUGAUGCAAAAUAGAUGACAUUAGCACUCUGUGCAAAGAUGACUUACAUCUAUCACCCAGUACUGAUGGCU
ensembl:snoRNA SNORD83 Small nucleolar RNA SNORD83